rnacentral:rRNA from 1 species
GAUGAACGCUGGCGGCGUGCUUAACACAUGCAAGUCGAACGGGAAUUAUUUUAUUGAAACUUCGGUCGAUUUAAUUUAAUUCUAGUGGCGGACGGGUGAGUAACGCGUGGGUAACCUGCCUUAUACAGGGGGAUAACAGUCAGAAAUGGCUGCUAAUACCGCAUAAGCGCACAGAGCUGCAUGGCUCAGUGUGAAAAACUCCGGUGGUAUAAGAUGGACCCGCGUUGGAUUAGCUUGUUGGCAGGGUAACGGCCUACCAAGGCGACGAUCCAUAGCCGGCCUGAGAGGGUGAACGGCCACAUUGGGACUGAGACACGGCCCAGACUCCUACGGGAGGCAGCAGUGGGGAAUAUUGCACAAUGGGGGAAACCCUGAUGCAGCGACGCCGCGUGAAGGAAGAAGUAUCUCGGUAUGUAAACUUCUAUCAGCAGGGAAGAUAGUGACGGUACCUGACUAAGAAGCCCCGGCUAACUACGUG